rnacentral:snRNA from 1 species
UGUGAGGGCGAUCUGGCUGCAACAUCUGUCACCCAACUGAUCGCCAUGGUUGACUCGGCUGAUCUGACUGACUAGGCGGGUGUCCCCUUCAUCCCUCAUUGCUCCCAUUGCUCCAUGUGCGUCCCUCCCGAAGCUGCGAGCUCAGUGGAAGAGGACGGCCUUCCCCGAAUAGAGACGGACCAGUCUUCGGUCUUCGGUUGAGGGUAUACGAGUAGCUGCACUCCCCUGCUAGAACCUCCAAACAAGCAAAAUUUGAAAUAAAAAUAUAAAAUACCUGGGAGUCAGCUUUAAAAUAAAGUGGAAAAUUUAUGCACUAUCAGUUUUUAGACAUUGCUAACAAAAGAAAU